UACGGAGGUGGCAAGCGUUACUCGGAUUUAUUGGGUGUAAAGGGCAGGUAGGUGGUCUUGUAAGUUGGGAGUGAAAUCCCCCGGCUCAACCGGGGAACUGCUUUCAAAACUGCAAGACUUGAGACUAGAAGAGGAGAACGGAAUUCCCGGUGUAAGGGUGAAAUCUGUAGAUAUCGGGAGGAACACCAGUAGCGAAGGCGGUUCUCUGGGCUAGUUCUGACACUGAGCUGCGAAAGCUAGGGGAGCAAACAGG
rnacentral:rRNA from 1 species